rnacentral:misc_RNA from 1 species
AAGUCGUAACAAGGUUUCCGUAGGUGAACCUGCGGAAGGAUCAUUAACACAGUUCAGUGGCCAUUAAGCUGUAAGAAAUUACUGCUUAAUAGUCUAUUGAUUAUUUUUGUGAACAUAUUUACAGUUGUAGAACAAGGGUGUUGUCGGUUAUAAAGGAAAAACUUUCAACAAUGGAUCUCUUGGUUCUCGU